CCAAGGAGUUCAGCGUGUACGCGAGUCAUUGGGUUGUAAAACCCAAAGGCGUAAUGAAAGUGAAGGGAGCUUCGCGUUUCUGAGGGAGGAUGAGUCGGUUACCCGCAAGGGGCUGCUCCGCACUCCCGGGGCGUCUCUUUCUCAUUGCGAGUGGAGGCGCACCCAGAGCGUACACGCUGAUACCCGAAAGAUGGUGAACUAUGCCUGGCCAGGACGAAGCCAGGGGAAACCCUGGUGGAGGUCCGCAGCGAUUCUGACGUGCAAAUCGAUCGUCGGAGCUGGGUAUAGGGGCGAAAGACCAAUCGAACCAUCUAGUAGCUGGUUCCCUCCGAAGUUUCCCUCAGGAUAGCUUGCGCUCAUGUGAACGAGUCUCAUCCGGUAGAGCGAAUGAUUAGAGGCCUUGGGGUCGAAACGACCUCAACCUAUUCUCAAACUCCAAAUAGAUGAGAACUCCGGCUUUCUUGAACUUUGUUUUUGAAGCCGGGGGCUCGGAUCAGAGUGCCAAGUGGGCCAAUUUU
rnacentral:rRNA from 1 species